rnacentral:lncRNA from 1 species
GUGAGUGACAGCAUAUGUACUUCUUGUAAUGCUAAAGGUAGCAUGUGCUCUGCUCAUCUUAUGAGUGACAGUAUGUGCACUUUCCGUAACAUGAGAGGCAGCAUGUGCUCAGCUCAUCUUGUGAGUGAUAGCAUGUGCACUUUCCGUUCUCAUAUCAUAGGUUGAGGGUCCUUAUCGAUUAGCCCUCCAGAGGCCCUUUAGGGUC